rnacentral:rRNA from 1 species
CGGUGCUGUCCGGAUUAUUGGGCGUAAGCGAGCGCAGGCGGUUUCUUAAGUCUGAUGUGAAAGCCCCCGGCUCAACCGGGGAGGGUCAUUGGAAACUGGGAGACUUGAGUGCAGAAGAGGAGAGUGGAAUUCCAUGUGUAGCGGUGAAAUGCGUAGAUAUAUGGAGGAACACCAGUGGCGAAGGCGGCUCUCUGGUCUGUAACUGACGCUGAGGCUCGAAAGCGUGGGGAGCAAACAGGAUUAGAUACCCUGGUAGUCCACGCCGUAAACGAUGAGUGCUAAGUGUUGGAGGGUUUCCGCCCUUCAGUGCUGCAGCAAACGCAUUAAGCACUCCGCCUGGGGGAGUACGACCGCAAGGUUUGAACCUCAAAGGAAUUGACGGGGGCCCCGCCCCAAGCGGGGGAAGCAGGUGGUUUAUUUCGGAAGCCACCGGGAAGGAACCUUACCCAGGUCUUUGACCUCCCUUUGACCACCUCUAGAAAAUAGAAGCUUUCCCUUUCGGGGACCAAAGUGAACAGGGGGUGCAAGGGUUGGUGGUCAGCUCGUGUGGGGGGAGGUUGGGUUUAAGUCCCGCAACGGGCGCAACCCUUUAUUGGUUAGUUUGCCAUCAUUUAGUUGGGCCCCCCUAGCGAGGACUGCGGGUGACAAACCGGAGGAAGGUGGGGGAUGACGUCCAAAUCAUCAUGCCCCCUUAUGACCUGGGCCACACACGUGCUACCAUGGGAAGUACAACGAGUCGCUAGACCGCGAGUCAUGCAAAUCUCUUAAAGCUCCUCUCAGUUCGGAUUGCAGGCUGCCACUCGCCUACAUGAAGCCCGUAAUCUACAUAGUAAUCGCGGAUCAGCACCGCCGCGUGAUCUCUCCCCGCCCGUUUAUAUA